AUGUGUGUUUUCCAUACGGUCACCACAACUGAAAAUUAAAUGAAUUUCCUUGCAUUACAAUCCUGCUGAGACUGCAAUUUCUUGCGUGUCUGAAACAAUUUUCUUUUGGCUGUCCAAUUACCCGUUGAACAAAUUGUGCGAGUUGAAGACUUUCUGGCACUACUUAAAUUACAACUAUAUAGAAAACAGCAGUCAAAAUUAAGAAUGGGAAAACACAAACUGACCGUAACAGUGGAGAUUGAAAUUUCAUAAGGCAAGAAAGAGCGGGAGAGAGAGAUUUAGAAAUAGGGAAACUGGAAACUUCCUUCUCACGAGUUGAAAGUGCAAACCGGAUAUGAAUAUGCAAAAAAGGCAAAAAGGAUAUGAGAAAUGCAAAUAACGAAAUCGAGUUCAAUGCAGAAAUCAUCUGCUAACCAAACGAAACGCAUCUACACGAUUCAGUCAAUUCAAGGGAAACUCAAUGCGAAUGCGAAUACAUAUGUGAGCCACUGUAUAGCCAACUGCUAAUUGUGGCUGGCAACUGUUGGACAAAAGCGAUGGAAAAACUCAUACGGAAAAAUAUGCAUUAAGCGCAACCGCAAAAUAGAAAACCAACAGAAAAGAACACAACAAAAUUAAAAAAAGUACAUAAAAAAAUAUAUGGGAAUUGAGCAGCGGAAAUCGACAGGAAAAAACGGGAUUGCAAAUGUAAAAAUUGAUUUCUGUGGUUUUAACUAACGGAUAUUGUGGCCAAAUAACGGUAGUGCGGUCAACAAAACGAAACGAAAAAAU